rnacentral:lncRNA from 1 species
AUGGAUCUCGUUUUACCUGACUGUGAAAAUGAUGCAGUUCCUAAAACCUGUCUCUCUCCUGAAAUAAGGACUGUUUCAUCAGAUGUGAGCAGUAAACACGAAGAGAACUCAAGUAGCACUUGUUUGGCUGAAAACGCAAGAAACUUCUCUGAAUUUACCAAUGUUUCUUUUGAAAGAAGAAGAAAUUCUGAUUCUGGUUUCUUUGGCACAUCAGUGAUAGAUGCUGAAGAAUUUAGCCCAAGAAGGUCAAUCAAAAAUCAGUUCUCAAGUGAGCCAAAUAUUUGCAAGCCAUUGAAAAGUCGCCCACCUCUUGAUGACUUUGGCAUAUCUUUGAGAAACACAUCGCAAGAUAAAUGCUUUUUGGCUCGAAUUGGUAUCGUGCGAUCUUUCAAUAUUCCCAUGAUAAAACUAAAGGGCACCAAAAAUUUGACACAACCUACCACAUACGUAACUUUCCAUGAUUGCUUUAAACGGUUACACACCUCUUGCACAGUCGUUGAAACACUUAUACCUGAGUAUAACUCUCGACACAAAGCCUGGCUGUCAGCUGAACUGCUGAAGGAUCCCGAAGAACGGUUAGUUCUACAAGUUUGGUGCAAAAGAUACCAGAAUGAGUUUGCUGGACCUGAUUGUGUUAGAGAUCGCUGUCUAGGUUUUGUUUUUUGCAACUUAACCGUUUUGAUGCUCAAUUUUCGUUAUGCUGGUGGAUGGCAUCAGAUCAUAUCACCAUCUGGGAAGAAUAAUGGACAGAUACAGAUUCUGGUGAAACCACUUCAAAGUAUCGAUUUUGUGAAAGAUCUAGAGUGCGAGGUUCUUGUCCAUAGUGAGAGUAAUUUGAUCAACGACCUCCAGCCGUACAACUUCUACUUGAAUGCUGCUGUUACCAAACAGAAAAAUGAUAUUUCGUCCAAAGAGUUAUUGAGUCAAGAGAUAUUGGAACUCGAAAACCAGAUCAAGGAGUUGCAACUGUCUCAUAAACAACGGUCGAUGAAGGCAGAGUCAUCAAAGGUAAUAGCUGGAAUGAAUGCCGAAAAGAAUUCUCCCAUCAGUAGUGGUAAAGGCACAGCAAAGAAGAUUGCUAGAUUUCUAUCGUUCAGACGGAAAUCAAGAAAACAUAAAAGUCUACCAAUUUCUGAAGAUGGUAGCGGUUCUGUGUCAUCAGGAAGUGUAAUAGAGUCAGAAAAUAUCAGAAUCGCCAAAAAUAAUUCUGAUAAGUAUGACAGUGCUCCAGUGUCCAGUAAUGAGAGUGAGUCACCCUGCUCCGAAUCUGCCAAUGAUGGUAAGAAAGAGGUUAAAAAAUCCCCUUCUAUUUUUGUUCGCAGCUUUUCAUUCAAAUUGAGAAAUCUGGAAGAAAAAGUAAAGUUCAUCAAAAUGCUUUGCUUCAAAAUUUACCUCUGUAUCAAAAAAAUUAUCCACAAAAUCAUGAUGAAUUUGAUAAAUGUAUGAAUAUAAAUUCCAUUUAAGCAAAGCAAUAAAUCCUUAUCCAUGAAAAAGAAGUCGGCCUUUUUGUCUCGCCUUAUAGUGUCAUCAAUUAUUUUUGUACAUUUUUACAAUUUUUCGCAAGUUCCUUUACUUUUUUGCAAGUUCCUUUAAUUACGGCACACUGUUUUGGAACAGUUGUUUUUAAAUUUUUUUAAUUUUCUCAAUAUCAUCAUAUGAAAUAAUUUCAAUUUUACACUUUUAGAUUUAUGAUUAAUGUUUUCUUUUUUUAUUAAUUGAAAGAGAAGUAACUUUACAAGCAGUGCCUAUAUGUAUGUAUUUAGCCAGAAAUCUUCUCAGUGCCUGUUUAUGCACGUGUGCUUCACUACGAUGCUUCUCUCUUUGGCUCAGGAAAUUUCGGAAUUAAGUUAGUAGAUUGUUCACAUUUUUGUUGAGUUCGGUUCUAAGAUAAGUUCUGUUUGGUUUUACUUAUUCUCUCCAAGGAACUUUUUGCAUUCGGGUGAAAUUUUAUCCUUAAGCGUACACCACACCUGGAGUCGCAGGAACUCAUUAAGUGUAAAUUUAAUAUGAAAACAAAGUUCAAAUCACAAGAUUUUUGGCAUUUUACUUUUUCCCCACCUUUUUUUGUGUUUGCCGUAGGAAGUUAAAUAGGUUGUAAUUAGUGCUUUCCUGUGCAAAUCAGUUCAAUAUGUAGGAGUCUUUUCUUUUUGAUGCUAAAUGCGUCAUCUACAUUAUCUGGUCAUUGAUUCGCUUCUAUCAUGAUUAGUCUAAUCGUAAAGAUGAUGAGUAUUUGUUAUAUUUAUUAGUGCAAAUUCUAUAGAGAGGCAAAGGAGACUCUUGGUGAAUCAAAAGUCUAUUAGGGCUAUAACAAACCUUUUUUUCGAAAUGUUGACCAACUAACGAAAUAAGCUCUUUCUUUAGGAAGGCUUUUCUCACUUAUCUCAGUAUUCAAAACUUUGUACUCGUAAUGUUCCAAAACAUAUCCAGCUUUCCUAGGUUUUUUACCGCUCAGUGUGUAUUAUUUUAUUUUAAGUCUGCAAGGUUUUUUCUUUCUGUUGUUCUUAUUCUUCAUUGGUUUUCAGAAUCUCAUGUGUAUUAUUAAAGAUAGAUGGUUUUUGUUUGAAUGUAUCAACCUCAAACAUUUAUAAUUGUUAUUACUGACGUCAGCACUUAAACCUUAGUAACUUACUUUAAGGUUUGCGGCAUACUUUAGUUGUGGAUUGUCAAAAUGAGAUCUGUUUAGAGCAACGAUUUCAUAGGGGCGUCUAGUUUUUGUGGCAUCUACCUGUUUGAAGACUGCAGAGGAUGGUAAUUUUUUUCAUUUAGAUAAUAUUUACCCUAUAGAAUCUCAACGUAUUUUCUCCUUUUUAAUUUUUCCUACACUUUUUUUUAAAAAUGUAUUGCUCAGGAAUUUACUUUUGUAAUUUUUCAUUGUAGGUUCUUGUAAGUGUCGUGUACAAUCAUAAAGCAGGAUUGAAGGAACCUGUUUGUUUGAAUUAAUCUCAUAUUUUAACAUUUUGUGUGAAAUGCCCAAUUUUCUUGCCAGCAGUUGUUAAUCAAUGCUCUAAAAAACAUGUCCCCUCAUCAGAAUCGAACACUAGACCAGACUAAGAUGAGAAAGAAAUUCCUGUAGAGUCUUGAUUAUCUGUGAUUUGAAUUAUUUGCAGCUUUUUCCCCUUGCAGAUUGCAGUCCAAAAAUGUUGCAAAUUUUUUUAAAAAAAUUCGUCCAGAAAUCAUGUUUGCCCAAAUAAGUGCUUUUACCGUAAAAUUAAUUCAUGUUGACUGAUUGACUCUCAUGUUGACUCUCUGUCCAAAAUUAAUUUUCUUGUAAUUUUAACCAUAUUUUCUUAAACAUUUUUUAUGAAAAAGUUUACAUGAGAUGAAAGAGAAAAGUUUCUUUUCCAUUAAUCCAGCCACAUCCAGUUAAUUUUAUAAUUUUGUCAAAAUGUAUUUUUUAUAGUAAAAGAGGACGUAACAAAAUUUUAUUUCACUGAUCACGUACAACACUUUGAACUUUUCCUUUUGCGUUACGUUCAUUAUUUUUCCAAGUAAGUAUAGGUUCAGUUAGUUCAUACAUAGCCGAGCAUUCUUGCAAUCUUGACAAUUGAAUUCAUUGAUAGCUCUGUUCUUGUCUAAUACUUUACUUUCUACUAUCUCUCAACCUCUCUCCAGGCUAUGGUAAUUAUUUUUCCGUCCAUAGUUCUUAAUAUUUGAUGUAACCCUAAAAGAAAUAUCAGUAAACAUGAUUUGAUACGAAGUACAAUCAUUGAUUCUCUUGCCUUCAUUUUUGAUUUUUUUUUUUUCCAUUUGGCAUGUGAGCCAUGUUAACUUGGGUGGAUCGAAAUUUUCGACUUCCAGAGGGGACACGCGAUCAUCAAAAAAAAAAAAUUGUCAAUGGGCCCCAUAUGAAGCACCAAAAAUGUCACCUCCUAAAUUGACCCCCUCCCCCUAUAGUACCGCAUAUAGACCUAGAAGGCCUACAUUCUUAAUACAUCGUAUAAAAGGUUCAAACACAUGUUUACUUAGAAAUUUGUCAAAUUUUGGCCCCAAAGUUCGAAAAUUUCGUCCGUUUUGACGUAUCGUGCACGAGUAAUGCACAUUUGACCUGUUUUCACCCGAUAAAUAGUCGGAAGCGCCCUCUAGAAUGGCCCAUCUACAGUAAUGUCAGUAAUGCAGUAAUGUCAUGAGUGUGGAUAGUCAAUCCAAAUGGAUUUUGCCGAAAUUACGACCCCACACAAAAAUUUCGUCCGUUUUGGCGUAGGUAUUUCCGACCGUUCACCCACCAACAUGCGGAGAGGGCGUUUGAGCGAUGCAGGGCACGGAUCGUCGCGUUGCGUCCACCCGGUGCCCGCUUCGACCGUUCGGGGCCGGCCGGUCGGUCCAGGGAAACCCGCCGCGACGCGCGGCGGCAAGGUGUCGGCACUGGUCGGUGUUUUUUUCUUCUUUUUUUUUUACCAAUUUCAAAUAGCCUAUGGCUAAUCCCACGCUUAUUACCCCAGCCCCAGGUGACCAUUGCCCCCCAAACCCAAACCCCCAACUCCCCCCAAACUCAGAUCACCUGGCCGGGAAUCGAACCCGGGACCUCUUGGUCAUAGGGCCAGCGCUACAACCACUACACCACAGGAGGCCGACCGUCUGUGGAGCCGUAAACAGUAAACUCACUGGCAAAUCCCGUGUUCAGGCAAAAGCUAUGUGGAAUCUAAGGUAGAUAAGACGAGUGAAAAUCCGCGACCUUUGGAGUUGUAGUGCUGACCCACUGUGAUCAGUUUUCUCUCAAGUUUCUUAUCAUUAUACGACCUCGCUCCUGCGGCUCGAAGUGAAGUGACUUGUAUAUCGAUCUUUUUCACCUCAGGUUUAUAUUUAUUUGGUUUAUGAAACACUUGAAAAUUUGAACGUACUUCGCGUAAAAUAGAAGUAGCACUAAUUAUGCGUAAACUUUGCGAAUAAGUCGGGAUUGAUGCUCGGGUCCAAAUUGUACGCACUUUUGCCUCAACGCAACUAACCACUUUAUGCACUGCUGGUUCAAGUCCGACGUUUCCCGACCGUAAUAGGUACUUCAUGAGUGUGAAUAUAAUAUUUCACAACUUCCGCGUAGGUUGUUAAAACAGUUUCUCUUAAUUGCAGACGAGCCAAAAUCGGAUGCGACUAACUAUUGCGCAUUUCUUAGCCAUACUGUUCGUGAUAAUGAAGCACUGAAAAGAGCUGUUUGGAGUAACAGGAAUAUCGUCCACAAGUCACUUCACUUCGAAUACUUCACAGGAGCGAGAUCGUAAUGAUGAGAAACUUAAAGGGAAAACUGAUCACAGUGGGUCAGCACUACAACUCCAAAGGUCGCGGAUUUUCCAUAGAGUACAUACAGGGUGAUCCAGACCACCCGUCCACU